UUGUUGGGAGGAAGUACGUGUCCAAAACAUGUUCCUUAUCGACAUCUAUUAUGCGUAAUAGACACUUUGUGUUGCGAUACCGAACAAUCGAUACUUCUAUCGCUGAACUCGAUUUGCAAUCUCAAAGUGAUUGCUGGCGCGAUCUAUACACACGAUAUAUGUAGUAAUUACGACAGUUGUGCAGUAUUCUACGUGAUGGCGCUGAUAUUGAAAUCUGUUUUGUACAGUUCAACAUGGCUGAAUUGGGGUUGAAGAUGUUGGAAGAUUAUUCCUGAAAUUGUGCAAGAAAUUAUGAGACACAAGUGCAUAGCUGUGAUAAAUGUGUGUCUCAACGGAUUUAAUGUGUGUAUCUUCUCUUCGUGAACAUGGAUAGAGCCGGGAUCCUAAGAAUUUAGGAAACCGGAGAAAGAUUGGGGGUGGGAUGGACGUAUUGAGUCUGGACCAGGAGGUGGGCGCCUGGGACUCGGUGCUGAUGGAUCCCCUCACAGAGGAUAGCUUCAUCGCAAACCUGCACCAGCGCUUCAAGCGGGACCACAUCUACACUUACAUCGGGAAUGUGCUGGUGUCAGUGAACCCUUACAAGAAGUUGGCUCUCUACUCUGGGGAACUGGUGAAGGCAUAUCGUUGCAGGGGGCUGUACCAACUACCGCCACACAUCUACGCUAUCGCCGGCUCUGCGUACAGGUUCCUGAGGGACCGGAACGAGGACCAGUGCAUCGUGGUGUCUGGAGAGAGUGGCGCCGGGAAGACAGAAGCAGCCCGCAUCGUCUUGCAGUUCGUGGCCCUCGCGUCGGGUCAAAGUCGGGAGGUUAAGAUCAUGAAGGAACGCCUGGUGCAAGCGGGGCCGCUUUUGGAAGCAUUCGGAAAUGCAAAAACAUACAGGAAUGAUAAUUCUUCACGUUUCGGAAAAUAUCUCGACAUAGAGUUCGAUUACAAAGGAGAUCCGCUUGGAGGAACAAUAACCAAUUACCUCUUGGAAAAGUCACGAGUGACAUGUCAAACCCAAGGUGAAAGGAAUUUCCAUAUUUUCUACCAGUUACUAACAGGGGCUGAUAUCCAGCUACUCAAAUCCCUGAAACUACAACGCAAUCUUGAUAAUUAUGCCUUCCUACGAAGUAGCAGAGUUCACAGUUUAGAAAGUCUGGAUGACAAACAAGAUUUUCAAGUUACAAGGAGAGCUUUGGAAACAUUAGGCUUCUCUCAGGAAGAUAUUGUGAAUGUGUUCAAAAUCGUGGCAUCAGUGUUGAAGCUUGGCAACAUCGGUUUCAUCCCUACAAACAACAUAGAUGGAACAGAAGGGUGUACCAUCAACAAUGAUUAUGAGCUUUAUGAUGUCUGUGAACUUAUUGGUUCAGACCAAGCUACAUUACAAGCAGCCAUGACAUCCCGUACAUUGGAGGAGAACCAGGACUUAGUAACAGCUGAUCUGAGUGCUACUGAGGCCACAUAUGCCCGUGACUCACUAUGCAAGGCUCUCUAUAGUCGCCUCUUCACCUGGCUUGUCAACAAGAUCAAUGAGAGCACCAAGGUGAAACAGUAUGGUAAAAGGAAAGUAUUGGGCAUCUUGGAUGUGUAUGGGUUUGAGAUGUUUGAACGAAAUGGGUUUGAGCAGUUCAUAAUCAAUUUCUGCAAUGAGAAGCUGCACCAAGUAGUGGUGGAGACAACACUGAAAGAGGAGCAAGAAGAAUAUACGCGUGAAGGGAUAGAGUGGAUGCCUAUUGAGUUCUUCAACAACUCUGUUAUCUGUGAACUUAUAGAGAAGAACAAUCAUGGUAUUCUGUCAAUGCUGGAUGAGGAGUGCCUAAAAUCAGGGGUUCUUUCUGAUGAACUGUUCCUUAGUAAACUGGCACAGUGUUUUGCUGGAAAUUCUCACUGUGAAGUCAAAGGAACAUCAGUGUUUCAGAGGAACUUUGUUACAACACCUGGUACCUCAGACAACAGCCUGCCACCCAAUUGUUUCAGAUUGAGACAUUAUGCUGGCACAGUAACCUACAAUGUAUGCGGGUUUGUGGACAAAAACAAUGAUAUUCUGCAUCGAGACCUGUCUCUUGCCAUGUAUCAUUGUGAGCAUCCUAUGCUCAAAACCCUUUUUCCUGAAGGAAACCCCAAGCGGUCAACUUUGAAGCGGCCCGCUACAACAGGAACCCAAUUUAAAAUUUCAAUAAGUGCCCUUGUUCGAAACCUUGGCUGUAAACAACCACAUUAUGUUCGUUGCAUCAAACCUAAUGAGCUGAAGCAGCCAAGGAUAUUUGAGAUGGCACUGGUGCAACAUCAGGUCAGGUACCUAGGGUUGAUAGAGACGGUACGGGUACGGAGGUCAGGAUUUUGUUAUCGAUUACCGUACCAGCAGUUCCUUUCACGCUACAAGAUGCUUUCAUUGCACACUUGGCCUAAUUGGCAAGGACCUCCAGUUGAAGGUGUUUCCUACCUCAUUAGGGACCUGCCCAUCCCAAGUGGAGAAUUUGCCUUUGGAAGGACAAAGGUCUUUGUAAGAAGUCCCAGAACAGUGUUUGAGUUGGAGGAGUUUCGUAGAGAACGACUGGAAGACUUAGCGAUGCUGCUGCAAAAAAUCUGGCGUGGCUACAGACAACGGAAAGAAUUCUUACGAAAGAAGCAUAGCCAGGUUAUUAUUGCAUCUGCAUGGCGAAGUUGGAGAGCAAGAGAAGAGUAUCGUAUUCUCAGGCACCGAAAGCAGGUGGAAUGGGCAGUCAACAUAAUACAAAGACACUACAUUCACUGGAAGAGGUGGCAGUUUCUGCUUCGUCUUGCUCGACAACUUCCUCAAGAAUCUGAAUCUCCUAUCAGCAGGGAAUGGCCACCGUGUCAUAAGAGAUUAGCAGAGACCAGUCUAAUCCUUAGGCGAAUACACCACAAAUGGAGAUGUCACAGAUAUCGACUAAAAUUUGACCAAACGGCAAGAAAUAGGAUGAGAGAAAAAGUGACAGCUAGUAUUAUCUUCAAGGACAGGAAAGCUUCAUACCCACGCAGUGUGUCACAUCCUUUUCUGGGGGAUUAUGUACGCCUUAGACAGAAUGUCCAGUGGAAGAAAGCCUGUAUAGAAACCAAUGACCAAUAUGUGGUGUUUGCAGACAUCAUAAACAAAAUCACAAGAUCAAGUGGGAAGUUUGUUCCCAUCCUAUUUGUGCUGUCAACAAGCUCCAUGCUGAUACUGGACCAACGCACACUGCAGAUAAAAUACCGUGUGCCGGCAGCAGAGAUCUACCGGUUAUCCCUCAGUCCAUACCUGGACGAUGUAGCUGUCUUCCAUGUUCGUGCUCCCAGCCCCAGCUCAGAGGUGACGAGCCACCAGAACAUUCCCGGCUGCCUGUUUCAGAGUGAUCUCAGCAAGAAGAAAGGUGACUUUGUCUUCCAGACUGGCCAUGUGAUUGAAAUUGUCACUAAGCUGUUCCUUGUAGUCCAGAAUGCAAUGGGAAAACCACCUGAAGUCAACAUCAGUACAGAAUUUGAGGCAAAUUUUGGCCAGCAGACAGUGUUGUUCACUUUCAAAUGCACGGGCCUUCCAGAGGUGCAGCCAGGACAGAUCCGCAUCCUGCGUAAGGGGAACAAGAUGGAAGUUCUUGUAUGAGAUACAGCUAUCUUAGUUCAUGCAUCUACUGCUUUCCAGUAAGUUAAGAAUUAUUUUCAUUGCUUUUGUUUCAAAUCAUAGCUAAACACUUCAUAUAAAAUUUGUUUUAAAAUAUUUUAUUUGCAGUUCUUGGCGCAGGAUCGCCUUAUCUCCACAUAUACUCUUGUAAGAUAACCAGUGCCAUGUUCACAAGAGUCCAGCAUUUGACCACUACAUUCUGAGUCGUAUGAAUCUAGUCCAAAUCUUAAAACCCACUUAUUUAAGACCAGUUUAAAAUAUUACCCUUUCUUCUGUCUUCUUCAACCAAGUGGUCUCUUCCUGGUAAAGUAGCAGUUUUUAAAUGACUGUACUUUUAUGUAUUCUGUUUAGUAUUCAAGAAUGAAAUCAACAGGGUGAUGACAACUCAUUGUCCUGAUGAUGGAUGCAGGAAGCACCUUUGAAACAUUGGUAAACUUCUAUCAGAUUUUGGCCCAACAUCCCAGAAGACAAUCAUCUUCUCUCUUUAUUAAUCUGGAUAACUGGGAGUAAACUGUAUGAUGGACACAAAAAUGUUAGUUUAUGUAAUGAUAAUAUUAAAUAAUCUCACUACCUCAGAAAUACUGAAAUUAGGUGAAACCCCAUGGUAAAACUGAUUCUAAUAUAUUUUAAAGAUAGUUUUAAAUGUAAGCAGUAACAUGAGAGAAACUGAAUGCUAAAAUUAAAGAUGGGUUAUCUGGUUACAGAGAUGUGUUCCAUUAAGAUGCAGUCUGCUGCAUGUGUUCCCCUUGUGCUAAACUGCAUUGUCUAAAUGUAGGGGCCUCUGAUCCAACCCAACAAAACCAAUUGAUUGUGAUAAAAUGCCUUGCCUGCCUUGGUCCAACAAGCCUGUGUCUAGUCUAAGGCCAGACUAAAAGGUCUCCGCUCAACAACAAUAUUUUGGAGCAAUUAUUUGGGAUAGAAAAAUGUGAGAAUCUCUAUAUACAAUAGUGUACAGCAUGAAUAAGGAUGAUCUAUACUAUUCAGUUUCAUGUUGAAAAUCCAUAGCGAGUUGUGUAAAUAUGAUGCCAUAAAACCUUAACAGACCUGAGUGAGUGUGAAGUAUAUUUAAAUGCACAUAUGAUGAAGCACCAUAAAGCAAUACGUUGAGUUUUCUCCUGGUAUUGCAGGAAAAAACUAAAGAAAUACUUUAAAGACGUUUUAGUGAGUACUGGAGAAAUCAGAACAAGUUACAAAAUUUAGAAUAUGGUAGCUGUGUUAAAAACUACUUUCAUUUUCAGCAUUUUUUAUUGAGUAUUGCAAGAGAAGAAAGAAGGAAAUUCUAGUCAUGGUACAAGAGUAUCCAACUUGGAAAUAAUGUCCGAUACUCUGAAAUAGUGGAAGAUAUUUCAAUCAGAAAAAUAAAUGGUAGGGCAUAAAGUGUUACAACCAUCUGAUCAAGCUCUAUUCUAAUGUACGUACUUCAAACAUAUCCAAUACAUGAAAGCAAAGAAAGAUUGCAAAAAAGUAAGUAAUUAUAAAGAACAUUUUCAGGAGAACAUACGUACUGGGGAAUGGAAUAACUAUCUGCCUGUUAUAAAAGCUCAGAUACUUUGAUUGAACUUUCCUUGUCCAAAUUUUCCACAUACUUUAAUUUAACACAUAGUACAUUGUUACGAACCUCAGAUUAUAAAGUGGAAGUUGUAACAAGGAAGGUUGAGUUAUUCUUUAAUUGGACCAGUUGUAAUGGCCCCUUAAGCAGUAAAAAUCUUGUUAAUAGAUGGAGUAGCUUCUAGAAUCUUCAUCUAGCACGUUUGGUUAUGCUUUUCUCUGCUGCAUCAUUCUCACACCAUUUAUAUAGACUUUAAAAAAAUCAAAGAAAUACCUGGAGAAAAAAAUAUUCAUAGAGGUCAGGUUAUCUGAGAAAAUUUUAUACUUGUAUAUGAAUAACGGUAAUUGCUACUGAAAAUGUUUUUCCAUUUAUGGUUAACUUCUUUACUUUGUCUUUUAAGAGGAAAAUAUUGAUUAAUAUAUAUUUAAUUUCUUCCAAAUAAUAAUGUGCCAGUACCAAAGAUUGAGAUUUGACCCAUUAUACACUAAGGUACACAUUAGGUUCAGUGCUGUUCUGAACUUCUAUACUAUGUUGUUUUCAGUUUAGUUUAGCAAGUACCUCGAUUACAUUUACACCAUCAACUUAACACUGUAACUCACACUGAGAUUUUUGUAACUGAAAUAUCACUACUACUUAAUCCAGGAGUCUCAAACAUGCAACUCCCAAAUUGAAUGUUACCAAAUAUAACGUUUUUAUUGAGUAAACGAUUUUAAGAUGAUAACAUGAAUUAAGGUAAGAUUCGAAAGAACACAGAGGAAAUUAAGAAAAGUGUGCGUUGGUUUUAUAUAGUAUGUAUCUGUGCUGUAUGAUCUGAAGCUUUCAUCACAACUAAGUAUAAUAAAUUCUUCUUGGCUACAAGCUGUGUAAGGUGGGUUAAUGAAGAAAACACCGUUUCAAGAACCGUCUUCAUUCUCGUCCUCAAGGUACUGUUGUAGGUACCCUGAGGAUGGCAGUGAGUAUGUAGACCGCUGUCUUCUGGACAAUGAUCACUGUAUUUAUGGAGGCAGCAAGCACCUCUGAAAUGUCAGACUACACAGUGUAACAACUCAGAAGAUGGCCAUAUUCUUCAGUUCCUGUGUUUGGCACAGCUCUCCAUUCAGUUACACAAAAUUGUUGGAAUAGAUUAUUGUUACAGAAUGUGGCAGGGGCCAGAAUAACACAUAUAAAUCUUAUUGAUUUGCAUUAUUUUAUUUGUAUAUUCUGUUACUCUUUCCUCCCAGGCUGCUUAUAAAAUGUACCAGCUUUUGUUUCUGUGUGCUUUGAGGCUCCUUGAUUAAUCAUUUUAUAUCAUAAGAAACUUCCCUACGAAAUGCCAAUACCAUUAAUUUUGAUCAAAUGGAAUAUGGUAAUUGUCCUUCCACCUUACCUUACAUCAGAAUGUUUUGUUGAUGUCAACUAAACCUUAUCACUGAUAUACAUUGGACAUAAUAUUUUAAAAUAAUUGUGUUUGGUGCUUAGGAGCUGAGGGUACUUAUCUGUCCUAAACAUGCAUUCAUGUGGAGAAUGAAAGAUAUUUGAUUGAAGCUUGAAAUGGGAGAAACAUAAGACAAGGUUGUUAUUUGUCAUACUGUAUGGAUCAUAAUGCUCAUAUUAAUUUGGACAAAAUUAAAAUUCCAUAUAUGUACAUCAUCCAGUAUCCAUAUAUCUUUCCUGCCUUGUUUCUGCCAAAAGGUGUCGCAGAAAAGGUAUACAAAAAAUGUUCCUCUUGGAGAAAGAGCCCUGAGACAGUUAUUGAUUUUUUUAAUAACCUCUGUAUAUAUAACAGUUGAUACUUUCAUAUGCUUUGUCAGCUGAUUAUGAUUGUAUUAAGCUGAGUAAUAUUGCUAUGAUUUGUAUUUAAUUCUGUUAACAGUGUCUGUGACUGAUUUAUUGUUACAUAACAUUACAUGCAUAUUAUCAAAAAUAAGUUAUUUUUCAUAAAGUAAUAUAAUAAUUUUCAAGCAAGGAAAGUAAUUACAAUGUGUACAAUUAAGUUGUUAUUAAAUAUAUUUUGUAUUUCAGUAAACAUAUGGUGUCAGUUGAGGACAACAAAAAUAUUGUAUUUCCUUUAUUCAUUUAGUAAUAGGUUUUCAGAAAAAAAUAUGCUGUAUCAAUUCUUAGGCGCCAUCAGAUGUAACAUGCACCCGUUUCAAAUAAUUAUUCUCAUUUUUAUUUAUGAUGCUGUCAGAAACUCAGACUAUAUAGCAUCAAUCAAAAUCCAAAAUUAUAUUAUAUUCAUUAUAUGAAGUUUUAAUUUUGUCAUAAAAUAAGAACCGUGAAGUGUGUUCCAACUUUCUGUGAUAUUAUACAUUAUUUAUAGAUGUCAUUCCAACUUCUGAUACCUUAAAUUUCACGAAUUACCACAAGAAAUAUGAUACACUGUUCCUAAUAAAGUUAUAUGGUCAUUAGCACAUUACAACAAACAAUAACUGCUGUUUAUUCAAAAUAAAAUGUUAUGACUGAACAAGCCAGGAAGUAAGGCCUAGAAUAAACUUAAUUACAGAUCAGAAUAUUAUUUGUACAUUUUUAUGAUCCAUACAGUCUUAUUCAUCUAGAUCAUUCCAUGAGUCUUUUUAUUCUUAUAGAUUUUUUCUAAUUGAAUGAUCAAUUUUUAUCAGUAUGAACAAGCAUUAUCUUCUGGCUCAUUUCCAAGCACCAAUACUACUUUUUCCCAAUAAUUAUCUUUUAUAUAGUAUGUAACCUUUAACUAAAUUCUUUAAUCUAUGCUUAUUGUAUUCUAAACAUGGCUGCUUGUUCAGCAUCUUUCUUCAUCAUGUUAAGGGAUGGUAUAGGUAAUAGAAUGUAAGUAUAGAUCUGUGGUAUGGUUUAGGAUUGUAGUGUUAUUUUGUGCAUCCCAUUUAUAAAACCCCAUCCAUCUUCAUCCUUUUAUCAGUACCUUUAUAUUGUAGUAAGAUGAUGCCCACAUUUUUAAAAAGAACGUAGGAUUAAACAUUUUCUACAUCACAUAAAGCACAGAUCUUUCAUUUGUUCAUCCCCAUGUUGCAGUCACCGUUGUUCGCACUUGUUAACGGAGAAUAUUUUUUAACUUGAGGAUGGGCAAGUAGGAGAAAAUGUGUAAAUUAAUAGUAAUAUAAAUAAUGUACAAAAAUGUUGUCAAAAAUACUUUGAAAGAUAAAAAAAUGUAUGGUUUCUUAACAAUGAGAAUUUUUAUAAUAAAAAUAUAUACAGUGUUUGAAUUGUGACUAAUAUUCCUUUUUUUUUACCUGGUAAUUUUCCAUUUCCCAGUAAAGCUGAUGUAACAUUUGAAAGCAAUGUCACUGACUUACUAUCAGCUUAAGCGACAAGAAGGUAAAUUGUGAGAUGUUAAUUUUUAAUUCCUAAAGAAUAAACUUGGCUGUGAGAUUUCAGCCAGUAAAGUGGCAACCUGCUUUAAUGUUAGGGUCCAUUCUCUAUACAGAGUUACUGUGCAUUAAAGUUUAUUUGAAUGUUGUAUGACUGUUUAUUUAUCUUGCUGCAGAUCUUUCAACCUGCUGUUGCUGGGUUCAUGACAUGAAGGCAGUGUUUCCCUACUC